rnacentral:rRNA from 1 species
AGUGAACGCUGGCGGUAGGCCUAACACAUGCAAGUCGAACGGCAGCACAGUAAGAGCUUGCUCUUACGGGUGGCGAGUGGCGGACGGGUGAGGAAUACAUCGGAAUCUACUUUUUCGUGGGGGAUAACGUAGGGAAACUUACGCUAAUACCGCAUACGACCUACGGGUGAAAGCAGGGGAUCUUCGGACCUUGCGCGAUUGAAUGAGCCGAUGUCGGAUUAGCUAGUUGGCGGGGUAAAGGCCCACCAAGGCGACGAUCCGUAGCUGGUCUGAGAGGAUGAUCGGCGACACUGGAGCUGAGACACGGUCCAGACGCCUACGGGAGGCAGCAGUGGGGAAUAUUAGGCAAUGGGCGCAAGCCUGAUCCAGCCAUACCGCGUGUGUGAAGGAGGCCUUCGGGUUGUAAAGCCCUUUUGUUGGGAAAGAAAAGCAGCAGGUUAAGACCCCGCUGUUCUGACGGUACCCAAAGAAUAAGCACCGGCUAACUUCGUG